CGUUCUAUGGCCAAAUUGGUAAAGGCAUCGCUAAUCACAGGCGAAGAUGCGGGUUCGAGUCCCGCUGGAGCGG
rfam:Operophtera brumata OBRT01_Sc02604, whole genome shotgun sequence.